rnacentral:rRNA from 1 species
AUUGAACGCUGGCGGCAGGCCUAACACAUGCAAGUCGAAUGGUAACAGGAAACAGCUUGCUGUUUCGCUGACGAGUGGCGGACGGGUGAGUAAUGUCUGGGAAACUGCCUGAUGGAGGGGGAUAACUACUGGAAACGGUAGCUAAUACCGCAUAACGUCGCAAGACCAAAGAGGGGGACCUUCGGGCCUCUUGCUAUCAGAUGUGCCCAGCUGGGAUUAGCUAGUAGGUGGGGUAACGGCUCACCUAGGCGACGAUCCCUAGCUGGUCUGAGAGGAUGACCAGCCACACUGGAGCUGAGACACGGUCCAGACGCCUACGGGAGGCAGCAGUGGGGAAUAUUGCACAAUGGGCGCAAGCCUGAUGCAACCAUGCCGCGUGUAUGAAGAAGGCCUUCGGGUUGUAAAGUACUUUCAGCGGGGAGGAAGGGAGUAAAGUUAAUACCUUGGCUCAUUGACGUUACCCGCAGAAGAAGCACCGGCUAACUCCGUG